rnacentral:rRNA from 2 species
AUAAGCAAAUAUAUGAUGUAGAGAGUGUAAUGCACCGGAUCCCAUCAAAACUCUGCAGUUAAGCGUGCUUGGACGAGAGUAGUACUAGGAUGGGUGACCCUCUGAGGAGUUCUCGUGUUGCAACCC